UGUAUGAUUAGCAGUACAUGGGUGGUCCAUUGGUAUAGGCCUGGGUUCAGCCUAUACCAGAAUCUAAUUCAUGGUCUGGCAUCCUUUAAGUGUGCUGCAGUAAUAAAAGCAGAGGGAAAGGCUGGGAAUUUUUUUAUCUCAUCUGUUUAAGGUAGCUGAGAAAGAAAACACCAUGUUAGUUACUGGUAUAGACACCAACAGCUUGCCUGUGAUCAAUAAACUGGCUUGAGUAGUUGUGUUGUUUUUAUUAAUUGAAGAUGCACUAACGGUUGUCCAUUUGGUCUGUGAGGGGUGGAUCCCAGAGAUUCUCUAACAAAAGAAUCUUUAAAAACAGGAGACAUACAUCUUUGUGUCACUCCAGAGUCUUGGAAAACAAUCUUGGGUUAACUGCGUGAACAUUCUUUUGUUAUUUUUCUUAUUAAGGAAGAACAGACAGCGGUUCCUGUUAUUAGGGGAAACAAGCAUUUAAACAAAAUUCAGACGAAAUACAAGAAAAUUUUAAGUUUUUGGUGACCUAAGCCACGUUAUCUCAAACUGCAGAAGCCAACCGCCAAUCCUUUAGAUUUAGGUUUGCGACUCUGUGCUCCAGCAGAGCUGACGGGCAACAGCCACGUGUCUGCCCAGAGGAUUUUAUGUGGCCACUUGAGUCCAGCUGUGCCAAUGAUCUGGCGGGUCCUUCCCCCUUCUAGCCUCAAGGAGAAGCCCACCUUGGCACUGUCAGCUGUUUACUUUGACUGUCAUCAUCUUUGACACCCCUGCUGUAGGUUCGGCCUUACCCUGUAGGGCAUAGACUUUCUGAUACGAUUUAUUAAGAAUUGCUGAUGCAUUUGGAGGAUUUAAGCACAGCCUUCAAGAUGCUGCAACUAAGCACUCUACAGGCUUCAGACUUGAGACAGUCGGCUUCCCAUCUUCUGGUUCACAUGUCUAUUCCAUGUCUCAUCUAGCAUAGCUGUAACGAUGCUCUCAAUAACCCAUCACAAAUCAAUACUCUAAAGCAACACUGAGAUGAACACACCUGCAAGAAGGACAGCAGAGCCCAAGCAAACUAGGCUGGGUAUGGCUGGGUUGCAGCCACAUCUGAAGAGACAACAUAACUAUAUACUCCAAGCUCCUUCCCUCAAGUCUCCCCGCCAUGAUGGACUCCACAUUCAAACG
rnacentral:sRNA from 1 species